AAACGAGAAACUAAAUCUAUGAUAUUCACAGAUUCUGCAUGUGUUCGAACAAAAAAACAUGAUUGUGGAAGCUAUUGUAGCUGGAAGUGUAAUUUUUGCACUGGCCGUCGAAACGUUUCUUUUAAAAAAUAUUUGCAAGGGAGAAAUCAUUCCUUAUCCCUACUACCUUCAAAGUCAGCAAAAACGUAACAGCCGAAUGCAAUAGGAGCUCGAUAUUACUUGCUUUUCUCGUUAAUACACUUUUGCUGUUACAAAAGUGGAAUAAAAGUAUCUGCAAAGUAACAGAUGUAAUACCAUUUGUUAAGUCUCCGCAAUAAUCAUCAUGGUAUUGGUUGAAGUUUUCUUUGGUGGGAUCGUGGUAUUAAUACAAGCCUUUCUCCUUAAGCAACUGUUCAAUCCUUCUGGCCAGAAGCAGAUUGGAUCGUACCUGUUUGCUCCAUUUCCCACAAAAUAUGGCUACUGCGUCGUUCCACAGCGAAGUGAAGACUUCUCAAAGCUGAAAUAGCGUCGAGCAGCACCAUGAAAAGUGGAUCCGCCGAUAGAAUAAUACAAUCUUAUAGAGCUAUCGUAUCUAAAUCUAAUCGAAAUGGCUUUAUGUGAUUUUAAGACUAAUGUAACCGCGGAUUGUCAGCAAUCGCUUUUUUAAAACUGAACAGCACGAGCACAGGAAAAAACGUAGUUGUUUUCUAAUUCGAAAAUGUAUCUAUUGUUGCAAAUGUUGAAAAAUGUAUACAAGAUUGAGCUUUUUUGUAAAUCAGUGGCAGCUUCAUGUACAUGUAAGAAAUAAAACACGCAUGGAUGCAAAACCAAA